rnacentral:rRNA from 1 species
UACGAAGGGGGCUAGCGUUGCUCGGAAUCACUGGGCGUAAAGCGCACGUAGGCGGAUUGCUAAGUCAGGGGUGAAAUCCUGGAGCUCAACUCUAGAACUGCCUUUGAUACUGGCGACCUUGAGUCCGGGAGAGGUGAGUGGAACUGCGAGUGUAGAGGUGAAAUUCGUAGAUAUUCGCAAGAACACCAGUGGCGAAGGCGGCUCACUGGCCCGGUACUGACGCUGAGGUGCGAAAGCGUGGGGAGCAAACAGG